CUCCGGGUGGUCCUGCGGGACCCGACUGCUAUCAGAGUGGGACUAAGCCAUGCGAGUCAACAUAGCAAUAUGUGGCAUACGGCUCAGUAACACGUAGUCAACAUGCCCAGGGGACGUGGAUAACCUCGGGAAACUGAGGAUAAACCGCGAUAGGUCAUCACUUCUGGAAUGGGUAAUGACUUAAAUCUAUAUGGCCCCUGGAUUGGACUGCGGCCGAUCAGGCUGUUGGUGAGGUAAUGGCCCACCAAACCUGUAACCGGUACGGGCUCUGAGAGGAGGAGCCCGGAGAUGGGCACUGAGACAAGGGCCCAGGCCCUAUGGGGCGCAGCAGGCGCGAAACCUCUGCAAUAGGCGAAAGCUUGACAGGGUUACUCUGAGUGAUUUCCGUUAAGGAGAUCUUUUGGCACCUCUAAAAAUGGUGCAGAAUAAGGGGUGGGCAAGUCUGGUGUCAGCCGCCGCGGUAAUACCAGCACCCCGAGUGGUCGGGACGUUUAUUGGGCCUAAAGCAUCCGUAGCCGGUUCUACAAGUCUUCCGUUAAAUCCACCUGCUUAACAGAUGGGCUGCGGAAGAUACUAUAGAGCUAGGAGGCGGGAGAGGCAAGCGGUACUCGAUGGGUAGGGGUAAAAUCCGUUGAUCCAUUGAAGACCACCAGUGGCGAAGGCGGCUUGCCAGAACGCGCUCGACGGUGAGGGAUGAAAGCUGGGGGAGCAAACCGGAUUAGAUACCCGGGUAGUCCCAGCUGUAAACGAUGCAGACUCGGUGAUGAGUUGGCUUAUUGUUAACUCAGUGCCGCAGGGAAGCCGUUAAGUUUGCCGCCUGGGGAGUACGGUCGCAAGACUGGAACUUAAAGGAAUUGGCGGGGGAGCA
rnacentral:rRNA from 1 species